rnacentral:tRNA from 2 species
GGGCAUGUAGCUCAGUUGGAUAGAGCACCGCCCUUCUAAGGCGGGGGUCGCAGGUUCGAAUGAAAUCCGAAAAUCCUGUCAUGCCCA